rnacentral:rRNA from 1 species
UGCGUAGGCGGUUUGGAAAGUCAGAUGUGAAAGCCUAUGGCUUAACCAUAGAACAGCAUUUGAAACUUCCAGACUAGAAUACUGAAGGGGCAGAUGGAAUUAGUGGUGUAGGGGUAAAAUCCGUAGAUAUCACUAGGAAUACCGAAAGCGAAAGCGAUCUGCUGGGAAGUUAUUGACGCUGAGGCACGAAAGCGUGGGGAGCAAACG